GAAUUCGAUUCGGUGUGACAAGGCCCGGGAACGUAUUCACCGCGGCGUGCUGAUCCGCGAUUACUAGCGAUUCCAACUUCAUGCAGGCGAGUUGCAGCCUGCAAUCCGAACUGAGACCGGCUUUCUCCGAUUAGCUCCACCUUGCGGCAUCGCGACGGUUUGUACCGGCCAUUGUAGCACGUGUGUAGCCCCAGACAUAAAGGCCAUGCUGACUUGACGUCAUCCCCACCUUCCUCCGGUUUAUCACCGGCAGUCUCCUCAGAGUGCCCAGCAUAACCUGAUGGCAACAGAGGACAAGGGUUGCGCUCGUUGCGGGACUUAACCCAACAUCUCACGACACGAGCUGACGACAGCCAUGCAGCACCUCUACGAGUGCCCUUGCGGGAGCCGGCUUUCGCCGGAUGUCACUCGCUGUUCAAGCCUGGGUAAGGUUCUUCGCGUUAAUCACUA
rnacentral:rRNA from 1 species